rnacentral:misc_RNA from 1 species
UCCGAGUUGACCCCGGCAGUCUCCUAUGAGUCCCCACCAUUACGUGCUGGCAACAUAGAACGAGGGUUGCGCUCGUUGCGGGACUUAACCCAACAUUUCACAACACGAGCUGACGACAGCCAUGCAGCACCUGUGUUACGGCUCUCUUUCGAGCACUCCUCCAUCUCUGGAGGAUUCCGUACAUGUCAAAGGUGGGUAAGGUUUUUCGCGUUGCAUCGAAUUAAACCACAUCAUCCACCGCUUGUGCGGGUCCCCGUCAAUUCCUUUGAGUUUUAAUCUUGCGACCGUACUCCCCAGGCGGGAUGCUUAUUGCGUUAGCUGCGCCACUGACGGGCAAGCCCGCCAACGGCUGGCAUCCAUCGUUUACGGCGUGGACUAC